rnacentral:rRNA from 1 species
CCUACGGGAGACUGCAGUGGGGAAUAUUGCACAAUGGGCGCAAGCCUGAUGCAGCCAUGCCGCGUGUGUGAAGAAGGCCUUCGGGUUGUAAAGCACUUUCAGCGGGGAGGAAGGCGGUGAGGUUAAUAACCUCAUCGAUUGACGUUACCCGCGGAAGAAGCACCGGCUAACUCCGUGCCAGCAGCCGCGGUAAUACGGAGGGUGCAAGCGUUAAUCGGAAUUACUGGGCGUAAAGCGCACGCAGGCGGUCUGUCAAGUCGGAUGUGAAAUCCCCGGGCUCAACCUGGGAACUGCAUUCGAAACUGGCAGGCUAGAGUCUUGUAGAGGGGGGUAGAAUUCCAGGUGUAGCGGUGAAAUGCGUAGAGAUCUGGAGGAAUACCGGUGGCGAAGGCGGCCCCCUGGACAAAGACUGACGCUCAGGUGCGAAAGCGUGGGGAGCAAACAGGAUUAGAUACCCGUGUAGUC